rnacentral:rRNA from 1 species
GAUGAACGCUGGCGGCGUGCCUAAUACAUGCAAGUCGAGCGAACGGACGAGAAGCUUGCUUCUCUGAUGUUAGCGGCGGACGGGUGAGUAACACGUGGAUAACCUACCUAUCAGACUGGGAUAACUUCGGGAAACCGUAGCUAAUACCGGAUAAUAUUUUGAACCGCAUGGUUCAAAAGUGAAAGACGGUCUUGCUGUCACUUAUAGAUGGAUCCGCGCUGCUUUAGCUAGUUGGUAAGGUAACGGCUUACCAAGGCAACGAUGCGUAGCCGACCUGUGAGGGGGAUCGGCCACACUGGAACGGAGACAGGGUCCAGACUCCUACGGGAGGCAGCAGUAGGGAAUCUUCCGCAAUGGGCGAAAGCCUGACGGAGCAACGCCGCGUGAGUGAUGAAGGUCUUCGGAUCGUAAAGCUCUGUUAUUAGGGAAGAACAUAUGUGGAAGUAACUGUGCACAUCUUGACGGUACCUAAUCAGAAAGCCACGGCUAACUACGUG